UGUAUAUAAAUAAACUCGUAUAUAUCAUUUAUCUUCAUACAUAUCUUCAACUGAGUAAUGGAUACCAAACUCUUGUAUUUUGUUCUGAUGGCUGUGUUUCUAUUGCUCAGUGUUUCCAAAAUCUGGUGGGAAACUGCUCAUGAUAAACCGCCAGUUCUCACGACAAAAGAGUGGCUCGAUAUACUCUUCGAAACAAAAACUGCGUUUCUUCGCAUCGGAUUUCACGAAGAUCAAGAGUAUUUUAGAUCUUAUUUUGUGCUUUAGACUAUAUUACACCAAGUGUACACAUGUAUUAUAGUUUUCUCAACGGCUAAAUUAUUUAAUAAGAGAAAAAACUAUAUGUAAUCAAA